rnacentral:rRNA from 1 species
UACAGAGGGUGCGAGCGUUAAUCGGAAUUACUGGGCGUAAAGCGCACGUAGGCGGCUUUGCAAGUCGGGUGUGAAAUCCCCGGGCUCAACCUGGGAACUGCAUCCGAGACUGCUUUGCUCGAGUAUGGGAGAGGGAAGUGGAAUUUCCGGCGUAGCGGUGAAAUGCGUAGAUAUCGGAAGGAACAUCAGUGGCGAAGGCGACUUCCUGGACCAAUACUGACGCUCAGGUGCGAAAGCGUGGGGAGCAAACAGG